rnacentral:misc_RNA from 1 species
AUGCUUGCAAAAACACAAAAGGAUAUUAAUCCAAUCCAGUAAAAUAACAUAGUAGCUGCUGAACGUGAAACAGUUAGCCAAUUGAGAUAGGCGUUUAAUCCUAGCAAUUGAUUCAGUAACAUUGGAGGGAUGCAAAGUAGGACGCUCAUACUUAACACUAGACGUGGGUCACAGAAAAAGUACAGUUCAAACUUAAUAGGCAAAUCCAAGAAAUAAUGUUAUGCUAGAUAGGCAUAUAUAAUGCUGGCAUAACUAAUGCACAGGCAAGAUUUUACCAUUUUGAAAUUGGGGGAGAAAGUCACAUGUAAAGUUAAAAUGACAUUCUAGGCUUUGUGUGCAUGCUACUCACCUGGCCAAGACCCACCAUUAUGGUAACUCCAUCUUGUGUUCUUAGGACCACAUCCAGUGACAAUCCUCCAUUCAUGUCCUUCCAAUGCCGGGUAUGUGACCUUCAAAGGCAUCUCUCCAAUUAAGUCCUCCCACCGCUCCUCAACCAGAUCCAUGAUUGCUGUUGCUUGUGCAGGUGUCACUAAGUAACUCAAAAUGGCAAUACAGUUUCCAACUAAGAACCACCGAAAGUCCAUGCGAGCCGGAUUGACAUUGCCAAUCAGAUAACCUCCUCGCAAAGGCAUGAAAUCAAAUACCCAGUCUGGAAUAGACUCUGGGAUAACAUUAAAUUUAUUGACAGCAGUGUGGGAGUAUUCCUCAGUUUUGUAGCGGUAUAUGUUAUUUAGCUGUGUGAAAUCCAGCCAAUAAUAUUUCUGGAUGUGAUAGCUAAGAGCUGUGAUCCUCUUAUCGAUCCUCUCAAGUAAUUCCUUGCCAUCACGCUCUGGCUUUAGCAUCUGCCUUGCACACCUCAGUGCAAAAUGGAAAAGUGCCUGGAUUUCAAUUGGAUACCCAUAUAUUCCCUGUUUCAAAUCAUAAUGCCAGUGAAACUCACAGUUAUAGUCCAUCGUGAGCGAUUAUGUAAUUUCCUAAAGCAGGAAUAAAAAAUUUUACACCAACUUGAAGAGGGAAAGUACGAGAAAUUCCCAUCUACAAUUGAGUGUUUAUGCACUUAGCCAAUAGGAAACUAUCAAUAUGUAUUUAAAUGUGAGAUUUACCAUGAUUUAGCUAAUAUGACAAUUUUAGAUUGAUUAAAUGUAUAUACCCAAAAUGUCUUUUCUGAAACACUUGGUGUAUUACACCAAUUCAACAAAUGAGUGGCAUGUAUAUUGGAUGUAAAAUAAGAUACGUAACAAUUGUUCAUUGACCUAAUACAAAACUCUCAAUGUGAUAUUAAUUAAUUUGGCAUAUGUUGCCAAGUAUUUCCAAGCAAUCCUGUUCUCUUCUUUGGCAACUAGUUUUAUUAUUUUUCAAGUUUUCUUUUGCAACUACUCGCAAUUCAGCAUAUGGCUUUACAAUCAGAAGGAUUUGCUCCAAUAAAUCCAAAGAAAAAGGAUGAACCAAAGGAGAGAGAAUUUCAUUUCAAGAUCAAGUCAGCCCUCUGCUAUAAAUAUUAUGUUACCGCCUUCUCUGACCAUGAAGACGCAAGGUUCAUUGAAAAAAGAAAUGGUACUCUCAACUCUGAACCUCGUCAUUCAGCGUCCAAAAGAUGAGAAAACGUUUUGCCUGGAUAAAACGCAGAACAACAGGUAAUGAACAAAUCCUAAAUGACAAUAUCUUAAAGUGAAGGACUUGAUGAAAAGACCUGAAGACUAAAUUGGGAUGGCCAUUGUCUCUUGAUGUGAAAUGCAUAUCUACCAAAAUUGGCUCACAGAAAGAUUUAAGGUAGGGAAAAAAGAGAAUAUUCACCAUCCUCCUGUCAAUCAUGCUGCAUCCAUCUGCACACAGGAGUGUGGGGAAAGUGUCAAAGCCGUCUGAGAGGCAAAGAUUGAGUAUCAAUUUCAUUCCUCUCUGAACCUCUGGGAGUUCUGCCAGUGCAUAAUCACGGGUGCUCUUGGUAUAGGACCUAAGCAGUAUAAUCCACCAGAAUCCUAAGUCAACAGGCGCCACCCUCCCAAUUGCACUGCCACCAAAAUCAGCAACCAGGAUGUCCUUUUGACGGUGUGUGUCAAAGAGAACCUAAUAACUUGCAGGCAU